UACAGAGGGGGCAAGCGUUAUUCGGAAUUAUUGGGCGUAAAGGGCGCGUAGGCGGCCCGCUAAGUCGAACGUGAAAUCCCCGGGCUCAACCCGGGAACUGCGUCCGAUACUGGUUGGCUUGGAUUUGGGAGAGGGAUGCGGAAUUCCAGGUGUAGCGGUGAAAUGCGUAGAUAUCUGGAGGAACACCGGUGGCGAAGGCGGCAUCCUGGACCAAUAUUGACGCUGAGGAGCGAAAGCCAGGGGAGCAAACGGG
rnacentral:rRNA from 1 species